rnacentral:rRNA from 1 species
UACGUAGGGCGCAAGCGUUGUCCGGAAUUAUUGGGCGUAAAGAGCUCGUAGGCGGCCUGUUGCGUCCGCUGUGAAAUCCCGGGGCUUAACCCCGGGCGUGCAGUGGAUACGGGCGGGCUGGAGGCAGGCAGGGGAGAACGGAAUUCCCGGUGUAGCGGUGAAAUGCGCAGAUAUCGGGAGGAACACCGGUGGCGAAGGCGGUUCUCUGGGCCUGUACUGACGCUGAGGAGCGAAAGCGUGGGGAGCGAACAGG